GAUGAAGAACGCAGCGAAAUGCGAUAAGUAAUGUGAAUUGCAGAAUUCAGUGAAUCAUCGAAUCUUUGAACGCAUCUUGCGCUCCUUGGUAUUCUGAGGAGCAUGCCUGUUUGAGUGUCAUUAAAUUCUCAACUACACUCACUUUGAAUUGGUGUGGCUUGGAUUUGGGGGGAAAAUUGUUGUGGGCUUUUUGUAUAGUCUGCUCCCCUGAAAUUGAUUAGCGGUACCUUUGUGGAACUGUCUACAGGUGUGAUAAUUAUCUACAUCUUAGACAUCUGCUGGAAUGCUGCUUUCUAAACCUUACUUGUAUUGACAAUCUUGACCUCAAAUCAGGUAGGACUACCCGCUGAACUUAAGCAUAUCACUAAGCGGAGGA
rnacentral:misc_RNA from 1 species